rnacentral:rRNA from 1 species
AGAGUUUGAUCCUGGCUCAGAACGAACGCUGGCGGCAUGGAUUAGGCAUGCAAGUCGAACGGGCUACGCGCCGCAAGGUGCGUAGCUAGUGGCGAAAGGGUGAGGAACACGUGAGUAACCUGCCCCCAAGUUGGGAACAACCCUCCGAAAGGGAGGCUAAUACCGAAUGUGGAUGCGAGGCCGUAGGGCCUUGCGUCUAAAGAUUUAUCGCUUGGGGAGGGGCUCGCGUCCCAUUACGCUUGUUGGCGGGGUAACGGCCCACCAAGGCUAUGACGGGUAGCUGGUCUGAGAGGAUGACCAGCCACACUGGGACUGAGACACUGCCCAGACUCCUACGGGAGGCUGCAGUCGAGAAUCUUCCGCAAUGGGCGAAAGCCUGACGGAGCAAUGCCGCGUGCAGGAUGAAGGCCCUCGGGUCGUAAACUGCUGUCAUCGGGGACGAAUAAAUGACGGUACCCGGAGAGGAAGCAACGGCUAACUACGUGCCAGCAGCCGCGGUAAUACGUAGGUUGCGAGCGUUGCUCGGAUUUAUUGGGCGUAAAGGGUUCGUAGGGGGUUGGCUAAGUCUGACGUGAAAUCCCGAAGCUCAACUUCGGAACUGCGUUGGAAACUGGUUGACUAGAGCGUCGGAGAGGGGAGUGGAAUUCCUGGUGUAGCGGUGGAAUGCGUAGAUAUCAGGAGGAACACCGAAAGCGAAGGCAGCUCCCUGGACGACUGCUGACCCUGAGGAACGAAAGCGUGGGGAGCAAACAGGAUUAGAUACCCUGGUAGUCCACGCCCUAAACGUUGCGCGCUUAUGUGGGGGGGCUCAAUCCCUUCCGCACCGUAGCUAACGCGUUAAGCGCGCCGCCUGGGGACUACGGCCGCAAGGCUAAAACUCAAAGAAAUUGACGGGGGCCCGCACAAGCGGUGGAGCAUGUGGCUUAAUUCGAGGCAACGCGAAGAACCUUACCUAGGUUUGACAUGCUGGGAUUAUCCUGGUGAAAGUCAGGGGAUUGUCGCAAGACGUAACCAGCACAGGUGCUGCAUGGCUGUCGUCAGCUCGUGUCGUGAGAUGUUCGGUUAAGUCCGGCAACGAGCGCAACCCACGUUGUUAGUUGCUACCAGGUAAUGCUGGGCACUCUAACAAGACUGCUCGUGUUAAGCGGGAGGAAGGCGUGGAUGACGUCAAGUCCGUAUGGCCUUUAUACCUAGGGCUGCACACGUGCUACAAUGGCUGGCACAAUGGGACGCAAGACCGCGAGGUGGAGCAAAUCCUAAAAACCAGCCUCAGUUCAGAUUGUAGUCUGCAACUCGACUACAUGAAGUCGGAAUCGCUAGUAAAGGCGUAUCAGCAACGGCGCCUUGAAUACGUUCCCGGGCCUUGUACACACCGCCCGUCACAUCAUGGGAGCUAAUUGCGCCCGAAGUCACUGACCCAACCCGCAAGGGAGGGAGGUGCCGAAGGUGUGAUUAGUGACUGGGAUGAAGUCGUAACAAGGUA